rnacentral:rRNA from 1 species
AGCGGCGGACGGGUGAGUAACACGUGGGUAACCUGCCCAAGAGACUGGGAUAACACCUGGAAACAGACGCUAAUACCGGAUAACAACACUAGACGCAUGUCUAGAGUUUGAAAGAUGGUUCUGCUAACACUCUUGGAUGGACCUGCGGUGCAUUAGCUAGUUGGUAAGGUAACGGCUUACCAAGGCAAUGAUGCAUAGCCGAGUUGAGAGACUGAUCGGCCACAUUGGGACUGAGACACGGCCCAAACUCCUACGGGAGGCAGCAGUAGGGAAUCUUCCACAAUGGACGAAAGCCUGAUGGAGCAACGCCGCGUGAGUGAAGAAGGGUUUCGGCUCGUAAAGCUCUGUUGGUAGUGAAGAAAGAUAGAGGUAGUAACUGGCCUUUAUUUGACGGUAAUUACUUAGAAAGUCACGGCUAACUACGUGCCAGCAGCCGCGGUAAUACGUAGGUGGCAAGCGUUGUCCGGAUUUAUUGGGCGUAAAGCGAGUGCAGGCGGUUCAAUAAGUCUGAUGUGAAAGCCUUCGGCUCAACCGGAGAAUUGCAUCAGAAACUGUUGAACUUGAGUGCAGAAGAGGAGAGUGGAACUCCAUGUGUAGCGGUGGAAUGCGUAGAUAUAUGGAAGAACACCAGUGGCAAAGGCGGCUCUCUGGUCUGCAACUGACGCUGAGGCUCGAAAGCAUGGGUAGCGAACAGGAUUAGAUACCCUGGUAGUCCAUGCCGUAAACGAUGAGUGCUAAGUGU